rnacentral:misc_RNA from 1 species
UGUGGCAAAAUAUUUUCCUGUGGAAAUACUCAAGAUCCACAUAAGGUACUACAUGACACAAACUUAAUUUUCAUUUAAUAUUUUAUAAGGAAAUGAGUGGUCGUUCAGAUUGCAUAUAUGAAGAGCUAAGUUUACCCAUGCAAAGCUUUAUCUAUUACUAUGAACCUUGAGCUAUCCUCAGUUCGACCAGCAAUUAAACUCCCCUCAUCCAAAAUACAAAAGCAUAUCAAGAAAGCAGAUAUAAAGAAAAACUAUAUUGGGGACUGACUGGACCUCCACAGCCUCCCUAGCAAGAGUUGAAUUUAGUAACUUUAUUUAUUUUGUGCAGUUUGCUGUACUCUAUGAAGCUCGUGCAAACACUGGUAUUGACAGAAUGAAAAUUAUAAGUUCAGCUGCAAAAUCUGUUCCUGGACCACAUAAAGUAGAUCUUAACAAUCCUGACAAGACAAUUGUAGUUGAAAUUGUUAAGGUACGCAUUAGUAAGUUCUCUUCCAUGCUAAAACUUAUAUUGUCUGCAGAUGCUGUUACAAGCUGCCUUGCCUGUACUUAUUUUCUUGGCUGCCUUUUGUUUGUGACGCGUAUCUCAGACACUGUGCUUGAAUUGGGGUGGUUGAAAAGAAGGAAUUGGCCAAGUACCUGAGGCAGCUUACAUCACCAAAAUAGUAGAGCACAGCAUAUUUAGAGAUCUGAUGUGUGGAUCUUGUAUUCUAUGGGGAUGAAAAUUUACAUGGAAUUCUGGUCAUUUAGGUUUUUUUCUUUUAAGAAAAAUUUCAAGUCUCUUUCAAGUCUCUCCAUAUUGUUGGCGAAGUUCUGGUCAAUUAUUUCCGAUCCAUCCCCAAAAUGACCUGUUCCCUAUAUGUUGUUCCCUAUAUGUUGGU